UACGAGGGGGGCAAGCGUUGUUCGGAAUUAUUGGGCGUAAAGGGUGCGUAGGCGGUGCGGUAAGUCUGUUGUGAAAUCUCCGGGCUCAACUCGGAGUCUGCAUCAGAAACUGCCGUGCUGGAGUGUGGGAGAGGUGAGUGGAAUUCCCGGUGUAGCGGUGAAAUGCGUAGAUAUCAGGAGGAACACCGGUGGUGUAAACGGCUUUCUGGACCAUAACUGACGCUGAGGCACGAAAGCGUGGGUAGCAAACAGG
rnacentral:rRNA from 1 species